rnacentral:lncRNA from 1 species
CUGCUGUAUUGUUUUACCAUAUUUUGUUGUUUUACAUGGUGUUGAACUGUAUUUUCCUUUUCAGCUUAUUUUUAAUUUAAAAAAUGUUUAUUCUUUUAUAUAGAUUUUAUUCUAUUCCAUUGUGCAAUUUUAGGUUCAUAGCAAAAUUGGGCAGAAAGUACAGUGAGAUCCCUGUAUCCCCUUACCCUCAACUUAUUUUUUUUCUUUCUUUUUCUUUUUGAGACAGGGACUCAUUCUGCUGCCCAGGCUAGAAUGCAGUGGUGUAAUCAUGGCUCAUUGCAACCUCCACCUCCUGGGCUCGAGUGAUCCUCCCAUCUGAACCUCCCCAACUAGCUGGAACCACUGGUGCGCACUACCACAUCCGGCUAAUUUUUGCAUUUUUUGUAGAGACAGGUUUUCACCACGUUGCCCAGGCUAAUCUCAAACUCCUGAACUCAAGCGAUCUGCCCACCUCGGCCACCCAAAGUGCCAGGAUUACAGCCCCAAGGACAAAGAGUCUGUACCAUGGAAAGGUGGCCUUGCAGUUUUCUAUCAAACUUCCCAGGAGCAGAAAUUUGCAACCUCCUCUUUGCCGCAACACACCAAAAGGAGCAGAAUCAUUGACUCUUAGUAGUUCUCAGCUGUGAUGCAACAAAGCAUUUCAAAACCUCUAGCUGAAUGCUAAGACAAAGGCUUCUCAUUGUGUGAAAGCUGAAGGAUCUCUCCCUGCAUUCCCUUCAUGGGCAUCUCUAGGCUACUUGGCCUCAUGGAUGCUUCAGGCUCUCCAGUGGCUUCAGAGAUCCCUAGUUUCCAGAGGAUGCAACAAUAAGGCACCAUCUUGGAAGCAGAAAGCAGCCCUCACCAGACACCAAAUCUGCCAGCACCUUGAUCUUGGAUUUCCCAGACUCCAGAACUGUGAGAAAUAAAUUUUUAUUUUUUAUCAAUGAGCCAGUCUAAGGUAUUUUGUUAUAGCAACGCAAACGGACCAAGAUAAUUACCUUUUUUUACUAGAAUAUUUGUUACCUGAGCAUGAAGUUUUAUCUUUCUUUACUGCCUUUUACAUAGGAGGUAAUCAAAUGUGUCCUGAAUUCAGGUUAUUAAAUUAUAUAAUGAAUUAGAUUAUAUUGCCACUGUGUUGUCUCUUUUCACCAAAAUCUACUAAUAAAUAGUUAUGUUAAGAAAUUAAAUAUAUUGCCAGGUGCGGUGGCUCACGCUGUAAUCCCAGCACUUUGGGAAGCUGAGGCGGGCGGAUCACAAGGUCAGAAGUUCAAGACCAGCCUGGCCAAGAGACCAGCCUGGUCAAUAUGGUGAAACCCUAUCUCUACUAAAAA